GACAGCUGCCCAGCUCCCAGCUGUGCUGAGAAGUACGGAUGUGUUGGAAAUGUGCGUCCCAGGUCGAUAAGUAUUGCAUGUUGCUGGGAAGUUAGUUGUUUAAGGAGUUCUUUAUAAGGUGUGUCCUUUGGUUGUUGUUUAUUUGGAAACUGAUGUUUAAGAUGAUAUUGCUCUGCUAGAAACUUCCAGAUCUCCCCACGGUGGUGACGUGGUACUCCUUGCCCAACAGCAGAAUGUAUUUUUUCCAUGUCAAAUUUAAUCUUUGACCUUCCAGGUGU
rnacentral:lncRNA from 1 species